GUGGGAUUUGGGGGGGAAUUCGGGGGGGAAUUGGGGGAAUUUAGGGGGGAAUUGGGGCUGGAUUUGGGGGGGAAUUUGGGCGGGAUUUGGGGGAAUUGGAGGUCGGGGCGUGGGGAUGGAUUUUGGGGUGAGUUUAUGCAGAUUUGGGUCCAUUUAUGCAGGUUUUGAGAGGGUUUUGGGUGUGUUAAUGCCAAUUUUGAGUAGGUUUAUGCAGAUUUUGAGUGGAUUUGGGGGGUUUGGAUGGAUUUGGGUUGGUUUAUGCAGAACUGGGGUGGGUUUGAGUGGGAUUUGGGUGGAUUUGUGCAGAUUUUGGGCGGGUUUGGGUCAAUUUAUGCAGAUUUCGGGUGGACUUACACAGGUUUGGGUGGGUUUUGGGUAGAUUUAUGCAGAUUUUGAGAAUAUUUAUGCAGAUUUUAGGUGGUUUUGGGUAGGUUUAGAGAGAUUUAUGCAGGUUUUGGGUGGGUUUAGGUGGAUUUAUGCAGAUUUUGGGUGGAUUUAUGGAGGUUUUGGGUGGAUUUAUGCGGAUUUGGGUGGAUUUGGGUGGAUUUGGGGUGGAUUUAUGCAGAUUUUGGGUGGAUUUAUGCAGAUUUUGGGUGGAUUUAUGGAGGUUUUGGGUGGAUUUAUGCAGAUUUCGGGUGGAUUUGUGCAGAUUUGAGGUGGAUUUAUGCAGAUUUUGGGUGGAUUUGGAGUGGAUUUACGCAGAUUUUGGGUGGAUUUGUGCCGAUUUUGGGUGGAUUUAUGCAGAUUUGGGGUGGAUUUUUGCCGAUUUUGGGUGGAUUUAUGCAGAUUUGGGGUGGAUUUAUGCAAGUUUUGGGUGGAUUUGUGCAGGUUUUUGGUGGAUUUGUGCAGGUUUUGGGUGGAUUUAUGCAGGUUUCGGGUGGAUUUAUGCCGAUUUCGGGUGUAUUUGUGCAGGUUUUGUGUGUGUUUAACGCAGCUCUGUGUCCCCAGGGUCAAUGAGGCGGGGGCAUGGAGCCCGAGCCGGGGGGUGACGCCCCCAGGACCCCCAGUGUCCCCUGGCGCAGUUACAAGCUGCUGCUGGACCCCGCCCUGCGCCGGGGGGGACAGAAGCUCUACAGAUACGAUGGCGUGCACUUCAGCGUGCCCGACUCGGGGUUCCCCCGGCCGGGCCCGUGCAGGACCCGCGGCCCCGCCGGAUCUGGGCCAAGCACCGGGACCUGUCCCUGCCCGUGCCCAAGUUCAAGGUGAGAAUGGGGGAAUUUGGGGCAAUUUGGGGGAAUUUGGGGAUUUUGGGGGAAUUUGGGGAUUUUGGGGUGGGUUUGGGGUUUUGGCCGCGUUUCACUGACAGGAUUUGGGGUUUUGGGUGUAUUUGGGUAAUGGAAUUUGGGGCUGGAUCUGGGGAUUUGGGCCGUGUUUCAGUGCCACGUUUUGGGUUAAUUUGGGGCUGUUUUGGGG
rnacentral:lncRNA from 1 species